CCUACGGGAGGCAGCAGUGAGGAAUAUUGGUCAAUGGCCGUAAGGCUGAACCAGCCAAGUCGCGUGAAGGAAGAAGGAUCUAUGGGUUGUAAACUUCUUUUAUAGGGGAAUAAAGGUAUCCACGUGUGGAUAUUUGCAUGUACCCUAUGAAUAAGCAUCGGCUAACUCCGUGCCAGCAGCCGCGGUAAUACGGAGGAUGCGAGCGUUAUCCGGAUUUAGUGGGUUUAAAGGGUGCGUAGGUUGUUUUUUAAGUCAGCGGUGAAAGUUUGUGGCUCAACCAUAAAAUUGCCGUUGAAACUGGAAGACUUGAGUGUGUUUGAGGUAGGCGGAAUGCGUGGUGUAGCGGUGAAAUGCAUAGAUAUCACGCAGAACUCCGAUUGCGAAGGCAGCUUACUAAGCCAUAACUGACACUGAAGCACGAAAGCGUGGGGAUCAAACAGGAUUAGAUACCCCUGUAGUC
rnacentral:rRNA from 1 species